rnacentral:rRNA from 1 species
UUCACUAAUGCAACCCUUUUCUUCUUACCUAAAGAGUCAUCUUCAAGAAAACAAUCUGUAGUUUCAUUUUCAAAAUUCCUUAACCACAUAAUCUAACUCAUUUCUUCCUCACAGAAUCUGAAGCACCUGCAAAUAAUCUGUAGUUAUAUUUUUAAACUUCUUUAGCCACACAAUCUGAUUCACAUUUUAGCUUCUUCAACCACAGAAUCUAUUUCUAUUCGUAAUCAUACAGCUGAAAGUAUCUAUCAUUCCAUUCAUGAUAUACCAAUGGGAGUCAGUAGAGCCAGACAAAUGGUUCAGCAGUGCUCCUUCUACAUUUCAGAGACUUAAGAUGUGUGCUGAGUGUGAGUGUGAUAGUUGCCCCAGAACAAUAAACCACGUGAGUUUAACCAUCACAUUGACAGCAUUAUCUCUUUGCACGACAGGCUCUCAAGAACCCACCCAACUGUCAAGCUUACAGCAUCCACCAUCAUCAGUAUUACUCGUACAUGAUCGACGCCAAACUUUGCUUGAGCAUUCACCAGCCAAGUUCUUUCCGCAGUUAGCGGUAGCUUCAGCGGCACCUGACGGGGACAAACAAUAACCUCUUGUAAUGUAAGUUACAAAAAAGAAAAAGAAAAAGAGCCUGCCCAGGCUGCAGUGAGGGUUCCCAUGAUGUGAUUUACACCUGUACUACUUCCAAACCCAGCAGCAGAAGGUUUGAAUGAACCGACAAGUUGAGCCUGAACCGUUCAAGUUCCAGUUUCAGUUGCCAAAUAAUCCUGCAGUUCGUGGAACAAUAAGUUCCUACCGUAGAUAGAUCAGAGGCUCAUAAACGAGAACACAUUGCAGCAAUCGGACGACACACAAACAAAUCAUAGAAAAACAAUAGGCUCGAGCUAGAUCAAAUCAAAUCAUGGGUGUCAUCUCGGAGGCUGUUUUCGUCUUCCGUGUACACAAUCAUACACUCACUACUUCAUGUGCAGAACCAAAUCCGCAUUCUUGAAAACAGGAGCCGGGGCCGAGCGCCGCUUCGCCAUCACCAACUGCUACGCCGCAGGCCCACACGACGCCGUGGAGAGGUACCGUCCAUUCCACGACGCCCUCGAGGUGAAGGGCAGGGCGUGCUUUGCCGGCUAUGGGGUCGCCACCGCUGACGCCGGCUGGCCGGACGAGGGUGGGCUAACUGCACUCCUUGCAGGCCUGGCGAAUAGGGUGAGACCCAGUUCUCAAGAACAUGAUGGUCACUGACGAGUGCCUAAAGGUGUCCACCUCGUACCACCUCGUAGGUCCUGCGCCUCAGUGUCCCGUGAGGGCUUGGGCGCGACCGGGCCCGCCGCCGACGGCAACCGCCGCCGUUUUGCUGGUUGAACGACCUCAUCAUGGCACGAGCAGAUCUCCCUGGCACUUGUCGAGGAAGAGGCGGUCGACAUGGUGAGGUCGUUCAACCGGCAAAAACGACGGCUCCUCGCCGGGAAGCUCAUCGUCAUCCGACGCCCUUCGUUCGUGCCAUUGACGCUUCUUGGCAUGCUCCUACUUCGAUUAUCCUUAUGGACAGGGCUAUGCAUCAUGGUGGCCCAGACGACGCUUGCGUGGAUAUCCUGGCGUGGCCUUGGCGGCAAGCUGCCCUUCGACCUCGGCGACGAUACACCGGUGUCGUGCCCUUCGGUCUCGGUGGAGCGCCGUCUUGCGGCUUCGACGGUGGCACACCGGUGUCACCGCACGAACUCGGCUAUGCGACGCCCUUCGUUCGUGCCAAUGAUGUUCCUCUGUGAGCUGCCGUUUUUGGUGCCUUUUUUCUCCCUAGGGCUUCUUGUGGUUCUUUGUUGAUGGUGGAACGAGCUGCUCGGCGGAGCUUGCUCCUGAGGUGUUGGUUACCAGGGUUUUCGGUUUGGUCUCUGUGCCAACCUUCCCCUCUGUUUACUUCGUUCUUUCUCUAGUUUUUGGCUCUCCUCCUGGGCGCCGUCCUCUGUAAUUUUCCUUUGCACUUUGUGUGCGCCUUCAUGUAUUUGUACUGACUGCCAAGUCACUCUUCGAGUUGGAAUAUAACAAGCGGUGGGGUUUGACCCCCCCGUCAAUCUC